rnacentral:rRNA from 1 species
GAUGAACGCUGGCGGCGUGCCUAAUACAUGCAAGUCGAGCGAACAGACGAGGAGCCUGCUCCUCUGACGUUAGCGGCGGACGGGUGAGUAACACGUGGAUAACCUACCUAUAAGACUGGGAUAACUUCGGGAAACCGGAGCUAAUACCGGAUAAUAUAUUGAACCGCAUGGUUCAAUAGUGAAAGACGGUUUUGCUGUCACUUAUAGAUGGAUCCGCGCCGCAUUAGCUAGUUGGUAAGGUAACGGCUUACCAAGGCAACGAUGCGUAGCCGACCUGAGAGGGUGAUCGGCCACACUGGAACUGAGACACGGUCCAGACUCCUACGGGAGGCAGCAGUAGGGAAUCUUCCGCAAUGGGCGAAAGCCUGACGGGGCAACGCCGCGUGAGUGAUGAAGGUCUUCGGAUCGUAAAACUCUGUUAUUAGGGAAGAACAAAUGUGUAAGUAACUAUGCACGUCUUGACGGUACCUAAUCAGAAAGCCACGGCUAACUACGUG